UUCACAUAAUUAUCAUUUCUUUUUUGUGGUGAGGAUGAUUAAGUUUAGUCUCUUAGCAGCUUUGAAGUUUAUAAGACAGUAUGACUGCUUACUCACUCUGUGUCACAUCACUCCAGUUUCAUUUUAUUUUCUUUUCAACUAUCUUGUCUUUUCUUAUGUGCUUUUUUGGUCCAGCUCUUCUAGUAGGAUGUAAGCUUCACUAGAGCCAGGUCCUUAUCUUGUUUACCGUUAACCCAGCAUCUGGAACAGUGCUGAGCAUGUACUAGGUCCCCGGAACAUUUUGGUUCCGUGAAUGAAUAAUAGCUGUAUUGAGGGGAGAAGCUAUACAUUUAAAGCUAAAUGUAUCUCUCUUAAUUCUCUGAGGGCACUGUGAUAAAGACGGCAGUGGGCCAAACGCUGAGGCUGAAGUUCUUGUUUCCCAUUUAUCCCUGUAAAACAUUGUGGCCCUCGUGGGUCCCUGAGACGUGGGUAUUGGGGUGGGUAGUAGAAUUUGUAAUAACACAGUCAUAUACAUAAUUUCAGUCAUUUUUUGGUAUCUGUUAAACACUAGUACUGUCCUUGCUGCUGUAUAUUUACUAUGUCAUUUAAUCUUAGGCAUCAGUUUUCUAAUAUGUAAAUGAUAUGUUUAGAUAAAAUGAUCUCUUAGUUCUCUUAUAUCACAUUAUAUGAAUUUCUAGGAGAAGCUAAGAGAUUAUAGUUUAUGGUGACACACAAUAGACACAGAUUAGUUCGUUCAGAAUACCUAUCCAAGAUAGAUAUUCCUCCAGCUCUAAUAAAACUUUAAAAUUGCAAAGUUUAAACUUUAGAAAGGAGGAAGAAACCCACCCUUUGUUGGGUAUCCGUCAUCUCAUUCAGUCUUCUCAACAACCUGUAGAGUAUCUUCCCUCCUUCAUGUCUGCGGAAACAGAGGCUCAGAGGUGUUACGUGCCUUGGCCAAGGUCACACACAUGUUACGAGGCAGUGCUGAAGUUCCCAACCAGCUUCGAUUGACUCCAGAGACCUGCUCUCAGCACGUAGGAGUUGUGUUACCUUCUGCUCACCUUUCCCCAGUAGGUUUUGUGGGGAUCGACAGCUUAGACUCCUGACUAGGGUUUCCCUUCUGUUUCUCACAGACCUCUGAGAAGGAGCUGAUGUGGAGAAGCAGCUGAGGCGGUCCAGGAUGACGACCACAGUAGCCACAGACUACGACAACAUCGAGAUCCAACAGCAGUACAGCGAUGUCAACAACCGCUGGGACGUGGACGACUGGGACAACGAGAACAGCUCCGCGCGGCUCUUUGAGCGGUCCCGCAUCAAGGCUCUGGCAGAUGAACGUGAAGCCGUGCAGAAGAAGACCUUCACCAAGUGGGUCAACUCCCACCUCGCCCGGGUGUCCUGCCGGAUCACAGACCUGUACACUGACCUCCGGGAUGGACGGAUGCUCAUCAAGCUGCUGGAGGUCCUCUCCGGAGAGAGACUGCCUAAACCCACCAAGGGACGAAUGCGCAUCCACUGUCUGGAGAACGUGGACAAGGCCCUUCAGUUCCUGAAGGAGCAGAGAGUCCAUCUUGAGAACAUGGGGUCCCACGACAUCGUGGAUGGGAACCACCGGCUGACCCUCGGCCUUAUCUGGACCAUCAUCCUGCGCUUCCAGAUCCAGGAUAUCAGCGUGGAAACUGAAGACAACAAAGAGAAGAAAUCUGCCAAGGAUGCAUUGCUGUUGUGGUGCCAGAUGAAGACAGCUGGGUACCCCAACGUCAACAUUCACAAUUUCACCACUAGCUGGAGGGACGGCAUGGCCUUCAAUGCGCUGAUACACAAACACCGGCCUGACCUGAUAGAUUUUGACAAGCUAAAGAAAUCCAAUGCACACUACAAUCUGCAGAAUGCAUUUAACCUUGCAGAGCAGCACCUCGGCCUCACUAAACUGUUGGACCCCGAAGAUAUCAGUGUGGACCACCCCGAUGAGAAGUCCAUUAUCACUUAUGUGGUGACUUAUUACCACUACUUCUCAAAGAUGAAGGCCUUGGCUGUUGAAGGAAAACGAAUUGGAAAGGUGCUCGACAAUGCUAUUGAAACAGAAAAAAUGAUUGAAAAGUAUGAAUCCCUUGCCUCUGACCUUCUGGAGUGGAUUGAACAAACCAUCAUCAUUUUGAACAACCGCAAAUUUGCCAACUCGCUGGUUGGGGUUCAACAACAGCUCCAGGCCUUCAACACCUACCGCACUGUGGAGAAGCCGCCCAAAUUUACUGAGAAGGGGAACUUGGAAGUCCUGCUUUUCACUAUUCAGAGCAAGAUGAGGGCCAAUAACCAGAAGGUCUACAUGCCCCGGGAGGGGAAGCUCAUCUCUGACAUUAACAAGGCCUGGGAAAGACUGGAAAAAGCGGAACAUGAGCGAGAACUGGCCCUGCGGAACGAGCUCAUAAGACAGGAGAAACUGGAACAGCUCGCCCGCAGAUUUGACCGCAAGGCAGCUAUGAGGGAAACCUGGCUGAGCGAGAACCAGCGUCUGGUGUCCCAGGACAACUUUGGAUUUGACCUUCCCGCAGUCGAGGCUGCCACGAAAAAGCACGAGGCCAUAGAGACGGACAUUGCCGCGUACGAGGAGCGCGUGCAGGCCGUGGUGGCCGUGGCCAGGGAGCUGGAAGCGGAGAACUACCACGACAUCAAGCGCAUCGCGGCGAGGAAGGACAACGUCAUCCGGCUCUGGGAGUACCUGCUGGAGCUGCUCAGGGCCCGGCGGCAGCGCCUCGAGAUGAACCUGGGGCUGCAGAAGAUAUUCCAGGAAAUGCUCUACAUUAUGGACUGGAUGGAUGAAAUGAAGGUGCUAUUAUUGUCUCAAGACUAUGGCAAACACUUGCUCGGCGUGGAAGACCUGUUACAGAAGCACGCCCUGGUUGAAGCGGACAUUGGCAUCCAGGCAGAGCGGGUGAGAGGUGUCAAUGCCUCCGCCCAGAAGUUUGCAACAGACGGGGAAGGUUACAAGCCCUGCGACCCCCAGGUGAUCCGAGACCGCGUGGCCCACAUGGAGUUCUGUUAUCAAGAGCUUUGCCAGCUGGCGGCCGAGCGCCGGGCCCGCCUGGAAGAGUCCCGCCGCCUCUGGAAGUUCUUCUGGGAGAUGGCCGAGGAGGAAGGCUGGAUCCGGGAGAAGGAGAAGAUCCUGUCCUCCGACGACUACGGCAAGGACCUCACCAGCGUCGUGCGGCUGCUCAGCAAGCACCGGGCGUUCGAGGACGAGAUGAGCGGCCGCAGCGGCCACUUCGAGCAGGCCAUCAAGGAGGGCGAAGACAUGAUCGCCGAGGAGCACUUCGGGUCGGAGAAGAUCCGGGAGCGGAUCGCCUACAUUCGCGAGCAGUGGGCCCACCUGGAGCAGCUCUCGGCCAUCCGCAAGAAGCGCCUGGAGGAGGCCUCGCUGCUGCACCAGUUCCAGGCGGACGCCGACGACAUCGACGCCUGGAUGCUGGACAUCCUCAAGAUCGUCUCCAGCAGCGACGUGGGCCACGACGAGUACUCCACCCAGUCCCUGGUCAAGAAGCACAAGGACGUGGCAGAGGAGAUCGCCAACUACCGGCCCACCAUCGACUCGCUGCACGAGCAGGCCGGCGCCCUCCCCCAGGAGCAUGCCGAGUCUCCCGACGUGCAGGGCCGACUGGCGGGCAUCGAGGAGCGCUACAAGGAGGUGGCCGAGCUGACGCGGCUGCGGAAGCAGGCGCUGCAGGACACCCUGGCCCUGUACAAGAUGUUCAGCGAGGCCGGCGCCUGCGAGCUCUGGAUCGACGAGAAGGAGCAGUGGCUCGACAACAUGCAGAUCCCAGAGAAGCUGGAGGACCUGGAGGUCAUCCAGCACAGAUUCGAGAGCCUAGAGCCAGAGAUGAACAACCAGGCUUCCCGGGUGGCGGUGGUGAACCAGAUCGCCCGGCAGCUGAUGCACAGCGGCCACCCGAGCGAGAAGGAGAUCAAGGCCCAGCAGGACAAGCUCAACACGAGGUGGAGUCAGUUCAGGGAGCUGGUGGACCGGAAGAAGGACGCUCUCCUCUCCGCCCUGAGCAUCCAGAACUACCACCUCGAGUGCAACGAAACCAAGUCCUGGAUUCGGGAAAAGACCAAGGUCAUUGAAUCCACCCAGGACCUGGGCAACGACCUGGCAGGAGUCAUGGCCCUGCAGCGCAAGCUGACCGGCAUGGAGCGGGACCUGGUGGCCAUCGAGGCAAAGCUGAGCGACCUGCAGAAGGAGGCCGAGAAGCUGGAGUCGGAGCACCCCGACCAGGCCCAGGCCAUCCUGUCUCGGCUGGCCGAGAUCAGCGACGUGUGGGAGGAGAUGAAGACCACGCUGAAGAACCGCGAGGCCUCCUUGGGAGAGGCCAGCAAGCUGCAGCAGUUCCUGCGGGACCUGGACGACUUCCAGUCCUGGCUCUCCAGGACCCAGACGGCCAUCGCCUCGGAGGACAUGCCCAACACCCUGACCGAGGCUGAGAAGCUCCUCACGCAGCACGAGAACAUCAAAAACGAGAUCGACAACUAUGAGGAGGACUACCAGAAGAUGAGGGACAUGGGCGAGAUGGUCACCCAGGGCCAGACCGACGCCCAGUACAUGUUCUUGCGGCAGCGGCUGCAGGCCCUGGACACUGGGUGGAAUGAGCUCCACAAGAUGUGGGAGAACAGGCAGAACCUUCUCUCCCAGUCCCACGCCUACCAGCAGUUCCUGCGGGACACGAAGCAGGCCGAAGCCUUCCUGAACAACCAGGAGUAUGUUUUGGCCCAUACUGAAAUGCCCACCACCUUGGAAGGAGCUGAAGCAGCUAUUAAAAAACAAGAGGACUUCAUGACCACCAUGGACGCCAAUGAGGAGAAGAUCAAUGCGGUCGUGGAGACGGGCCGGAGGCUGGUGAGCGAUGGGAACAUCAGUUCGGACCGCAUCCAGGAGAAGGUGGACUCUAUCGAUGACAGACACAGGAAGAAUCGUGAGGCAGCCAGUGAGCUUCUGAUGAGACUGAAGGACAACAGGGAUCUUCAGAAAUUCCUGCAAGAUUGUCAGGAGCUGUCUCUCUGGAUCAAUGAAAAGAUGCUCACAGCCCAGGACAUGUCUUAUGAUGAAGCCAGAAAUCUGCACAGUAAAUGGUUAAAACAUCAAGCCUUUAUGGCAGAACUCGCAUCCAACAAAGAAUGGCUUGACAAAAUUGAGAAGGAAGGAAUGCAGCUCAUUUCAGAAAAGCCAGAGACGGAAGCCGUGGUGAAGGAGAAACUCACAGGUUUACAUAAAAUGUGGGAAGUCCUUGAGUCUACCACACAGACCAAGGCCCAGCGGCUCUUUGACGCAAACAGAGCUGAGCUCUUCACCCAGAGCUGUGCAGAUCUGGACAAAUGGCUGCACGGCCUGGAGAGUCAGAUUCAAUCUGACGACUAUGGCAAAGACCUCACCAGUGUCAACAUCCUGCUGAAAAAGCAACAGAUGCUGGAGAAUCAGAUGGAGGUGCGGAAGAAGGAGAUCGAAGAGCUCCAGAGCCAGGCGCAGGCCCUGAGCCAGGAGGGGAAGAGCACGGACGAGGUGGACAGCAAGCGCCUCACUGUGCAGACCAAGUUCAUGGCGCUGCUGGAGCCCCUGAACGAGAGGAAGCAGAACCUGCUGGCCUCCAGAGAGAUCCAUCAGUUCAACAGGGACGUGGAGGACGAGAUCUUGUGGGUUGGAGAGAGGAUGCCUUUGGCAACUUCCACGGAUCACGGCCACAACCUCCAGACCGUGCAGCUGUUAAUAAAGAAAAAUCAGACCCUGCAGAAGGAGAUCCAGGGCCACCAGCCCCGCAUCGACGACAUCUUUGAGAAGAGCCAGAACAUCGUCACGGACAGCAGCCUCAACGCCGAGGCCAUCCGGCAGAGGCUGGCCGACCUGAAGCAGCUGUGGGGCCUCCUCAUCGAGGAGACGGAGAAGCGGCACCGGCGGCUGGAGGAGGCGCACAAGGCCCAGCAGUACUACUUCGACGCGGCCGAGGCCGAGGCGUGGAUGAGCGAGCAGGAGCUGUACAUGAUGUCCGAGGAGAAGGCCAAGGAUGAGCAGAGCGCCGUCUCCAUGUUGAAGAAGCACCAGAUUCUGGAACAAGCCGUGGAGGACUACGCGGAGACGGUGCAUCAGCUCUCCAAGACCAGCCGGGCCCUGGUGGCUGACAGCCAUCCCGAAAGUGAGCGCAUCAGCAUGCGGCAGUCCAAGGUGGACAAGCUGUAUGCGGGCCUCAAGGACCUGGCCGAGGAGAGGAGGGGCAAGCUGGACGAGAGGCACCGGCUGUUCCAGCUCAACCGGGAGGUCGACGACCUGGAGCAGUGGAUCGCCGAGAGGGAGGUGGUCGCAGGGUCACACGAGCUGGGGCAGGACUACGAGCACGUCACGAUGCUACAAGAACGAUUCCGGGAAUUCGCCCGGGACACAGGGAACAUUGGGCAGGAGCGCGUGGACACGGUCAAUCACAUGGCAGAUGAACUCAUCAACUCUGGACACUCGGAUGCCGCCACCAUCGCCGAGUGGAAGGACGGGCUCAACGAAGCCUGGGCUGACCUCCUGGAGCUCAUCGACACGAGGACGCAGAUCCUCGCUGCCUCCUAUGAACUGCACAAGUUUUACCAUGAUGCCAAGGAGAUCUUUGGGCGCAUCCAGGACAAGCACAAGAAACUCCCCGAGGAGCUCGGGAGAGAUCAGAACACAGUGGAGACCUUACAGAGAAUGCACACCACGUUUGAGCACGACAUCCAGGCUCUGGGCACUCAGGUGAGACAGCUGCAGGAGGAUGCAGCCCGCCUCCAGGCCGCCUAUGCGGGCGACAAGGCCGAGGACAUCCAGAAGCGGGAGAACGAGGUCCUGGAAGCCUGGAAGGCCCUGCUGGACGCCUGCGAGGGCCGCAGGGUGCGGCUGGUGGACACGGGGGACAAGUUCCGCUUCUUCAGCAUGGUGCGCGACCUCAUGCUGUGGAUGGAGGAUGUCAUCCGGCAGAUCGAAGCCCAGGAGAAGCCACGGGAUGUGUCCUCUGUUGAACUAUUAAUGAAUAAUCAUCAAGGUAUCAAAGCAGAAAUCGAUGCUCGUAAUGACAGUUUCACGACCUGCAUUGAACUUGGGAAAUCGCUGCUGGCGAGGAAGCACUACGCAUCAGAGGAGAUCAAGGAGAAGUUACUGCAGUUGACGGAAAAGAGGAAAGAAAUGAUUGACAAGUGGGAAGACCGAUGGGAAUGGUUAAGACUGAUCUUGGAGGUCCAUCAGUUCUCAAGGGACGCCAGUGUGGCCGAGGCCUGGCUGCUCGGACAGGAGCCCUACCUGUCCAGCCGAGAAAUAGGCCAGAGCGUGGACGAGGUGGAGAAGCUCAUCAAGCGCCACGAGGCUUUUGAAAAGUCUGCCGCGACCUGGGACGAGAGGUUCUCCGCCCUGGAAAGGCUGACGACAUUGGAGCUACUGGAAGUGCGCAGACAGCAAGAGGAAGAGGAGAGGAAGAGGCGGCCGCCUUCUCCUGAGCCGAGCUCGAAGGUUUCCGAGGAGACCGAGUCCCAGCAGCAGUGGGAUGCUUCAAAAGGAGAGCAAGUUUCCCAGAAUGGUUUGCCGGCUGAACAGGGAUCUCCACGGGUUAGUUACCGCUCUCAAACCUACCAAAACUACAAAAACUUUAAUAGCAGACGGACAGCCAGUGACCAGCCGUGGUCUGGACUGUGAAGUUCACUACCAUUUGUCAAGAACCACUCUUUCCAAAUCCUGUUGGUUUGACCUUUUGGCUUCCACUUCACCCACAGUGUUAAAAAUUUUACUUAAUUCAUAGCCUUCCUUGGUUUCAUAUUUGUUUGCGUUUAAUUCAUGUUUAUUUGAGUUUUUUAACUGAUGGAUGCUCAGUUGCCUGAAAGCAACAUACGUAUUUUUUGUUUAUUUAUCGUGAGCUUUUUACUUUAUUAAGAUUUUGCAGCGAAAGCCUUACGUGAGUAAUUGAAAUUAAAUGAGAUUACAGCAAAAUGAAGAAGAAAACUAGAAUCUGACAGGAUAACAUCAUAUAGCAUCUUGUUUGUUUUUUCCUCAUUUCUAUGUACAUAUCUAUCUACUUGCGACCGUAGAUGGGUAUAUAGAUAGAUGCCAAGCUUCUUAUGUUCUGGGAGUAGUAUGCACCAUUAUUGGGUCUCUGCCUUCAAACUCACCAAAAUUCAUUUUAGAAAAGAAACUACUGCUUCAUCUUUGGUGAUUAGGGAGCCCUGACAUGUGUUAACUGGCUCCAAAUGAUAUGUGUCAUUGGUCUAUAUGUAUAUAUGUGAUGUGUCCAUAUAUAUAUGUUUAAAUUUUGUAUCAUGAGGGCUAAUACCCAAUUUUAUGCCUUUCGUAUUCAGAAGACCAAAAACAAAACAAAACAAAACAAAGCCACAUAAGCACACAGGAAAGAAAGGAGUGCUGUGAUGCUUUCGGCGUUUGUUCUCAUGCCUAUUUUUAUCUAGAUUUUUUAAUUGUAGCUUGCCAGACAGAGUUUUAAUUGAAAUUGGAUUGUAUCAGAAGAAGAAAAGUUCUUUUCGUUCUUCUGAGUUACGGUGCAGAGACUCAAGUUAAUGAACUUGAAGGUAGUGUUGCUUCUUGCACUUAGAAAACCAAUCAGGUGUUCCUUGUGCUACUAGUUGUCACGUUGCAUUUACGUUCACCUCCUGACUGAAGUAUCUCAGGUGUACGCAGCCACUAAUCGCUAAAGAGAAGCAACGUGGGGUGGGGGUAGGGGUGUAUCCACAUGUACCCACUGUUUGGUCACAGCACUACGAUUUGCUUUUGAUGUUUGUCUCUAGUGGCGUGUUGUCUGUUGGCAUGCUUAAGCACAUGUCCAUUAAAAUUCAUUUUGUUCCUUUUA